AAGUUUUACUUAUUGGGCCUUAAAUUUGAUUAUGGUUUGGUGUAGAGUUAUGAUGAUGUUAUCUAAAAUUGAUUCAUAGAGUGGGCAAUGAAAUUUUACCCCGGCAGUGAGUCGUUUGUAUAAAUUUUGUUCCAGAAUAAUCGGCUAGACUUUGUAAACUUGUACYCGAAUUGAGGUUGAACCUGGGCGAAUUGYAGUAUACUUUGAACUYUAAGGUAAAAUUAGAAGUUAUUAGUGUUUAUGCCUUGUGUUUUUAGAUUUGUUGAACGAGUCCAGAUUAGUACCUGGUUAGACAAAAAUUAAAAGAGCAGGAGUAAAGUUAUAUUUAAACUGUAAGAAUAUUGGCAGGUUUUUAAAUUAUCUUUGGAGGUUGAGUAGUAAUUGAGAGCCCUCAUUAACAGCCCAUGUUAUAGGCGCAUGUAUGAUCGUUUAUUUUAUCCUUAGGGGUUGUAAUAUUAGUUUUGUUGCUGUAAAAAUAGAUAGAUACUUGGUUGAUAUGUGGGAUUUAAUUUGACCUACAAUAGCUUAUGUUGUGGACUUUAGUUGUAGUAACUAUUUGAAAUUGUAAAAGACAGUAAGUUCUUUUUUAUGUAGAACCGAAGUUUAUUUAGAGACGGUACAAAUCAUCCAUCAAUUGCCUAAAGGGGAGUAAGUUGUAGUAAAGUAGAGGUAGGGGAACCUGUCUCUAAUAAU
rnacentral:ncRNA from 1 species